rnacentral:rRNA from 1 species
GACGAACGCUGGCGGCGUGCUUAACACAUGCAAGUCGAACGGAAAGGCCUGCUUUCCCUUGUGGAUUGCGGGCACUCGAGUGGCGAACGGGUGAGUAACACGUGAGUGAUCUGCCCCCAACUUGGGUAUAAGCCUGGGAAACUGGGUCUAAUUCCCGAUAGGACUGCAGGGUGGUGCCUGUGGUGGAAAACGAUUUUCUAGUGGUUGGGGAUGAGCUCGCGGCCUAUCAGCUUGUUGGUGGGGUAAUGGCCUACCAAGGCGGCGACGGGUAGCCGGCCUGAGAGGGUGGACGGCCACAUUGGGACUGAGAUACGGCCCAGACUCCGACGGGAGGCAGCAGUGGGGAAUAUUGCACAAUGGGCGGAAGCCUGAUGCAGCGACGCCGCGUGGGGGAUGACGGCCUUCGGGUUGUAAACUCCUUUCGACCGCGAGGAAGCCACCUGGUUGGAAGGGUGGUGACGGUAGUGGUAGAAGAAGCACCGGCUAACUACGUG